UACGAAGGGGGCUAGCGUUGUUCGGAUUUACUGGGCGUAAAGCGCACGUAGGCGGAUUGUUAAGUCAGGGGUGAAAUCCCGGAGCUCAACUCCGGAACUGCCUUUGAUACUGGCAAUCUUGAGGCUGGAAGAGGUUGGUAGAAUUCCCAGUGUAGAGGUGAAAUUCGUAGAUAUUGGGAAGAAUACCAGUGGCGAAGGCGGCCAACUGGUCCAGAUCUGACGCUGAGGUGCGAAAGCGUGGGGAGCAAACAGG
rnacentral:rRNA from 1 species